CUUGGUCAUUUAGAGGAAGUAAAAGUCGUAACAAGGUAACCGUAGGUGAACCUGCGGUUGGAUCAUUACUGAUUUUGCCGAGGCAGGUCGAGUCUCUCGGGACUCCCUGCCGGAGCGAUACACCACUUGUGCACUAUAUCGUCUUUUGGGUUGGGGGCUGUUUGCUUGCAAGCAGUACCCGCCCAGCCGUAUAAACCACUUAAUCUUUUGUCUGAAAAUCUAGUAAUAGAAACAACUUUUGACAACGGAUCUCUUGGCUCUCGCAACGAUGAAGAACGCAGCGAAAUGCGAUACGUAAUGUGAAUUGCUUUCCGUGAAUCAUCGAAUCUUUGAACGCACAUUGCACUCUUUUAGAGUAUGCCUGUUUGAGAAUCUACAGUAUUAAUUCUGGGCUUGCUUUUUUUGAAGCAGGCCACGAGAUGGAGCUCCCUCGCAAGAGGGUGUUCUGAAAUAGAUUGCUGGUGUUUGUUGGGCUCGACGAAGUUUCCAAACCUGCAGAAAAGUAUUUGAAAACUCUGGUUUCAUGGUGCUGAAUAUGUGGGCGGCGACGGAGAGUCCAGGAGGCAUUGGUCCAUAACCAAAGUCGGUCCUAGGACUGGCUUGAACAUGGUCUCAAAUCGGGUAGGAAGACCCGCUGAACUUAAGCAUAUCAAUAAGCGGAGGA
rnacentral:rRNA from 1 species